rnacentral:rRNA from 1 species
GUCCACGCUGUAAACGAUGUGCGCUGGAUGUUGGGUAACUUAGUUACUCAGUGUCGUAGCUAACGCGAUAAGCGCACCGCCUGGGGAGUACGGCCGCAAGGUUGAAACUCAAAGGAAUUGACGGGGGCCCGCACAAGCGGUGGAGCAUGUGGUUUUAAUUUCGAAGCAACGCGCAGAACCUUACCAGCUCUUGACAUCUGUCGGACUUCGCAGAGAUGCGUUGGUGCCCGCAAGGGAACGGCAAGACAGGUGCUGCAUGGCUGUCGU